ensembl:lincRNA
GGAAAAGCAGAGUCCAACUUUAAAGUGCUCCUUUUACCUUGCAGUUUUGAAAAUGAACUGUAUUUCACAGUGACUGUAAUUGCUGUGAACACUCCCUCCAUGCCAGUGUUUUAUUUCCUGGCGGAUGGAAUUUCUCAAAUCUGUGGGGUAGAAUUAUUUGUGGUCAAUACUGGUCAGUAUUUUCAAUCAAUUCUCACUGCUCCUUCCCCCUAAAUGCUUCUAAAGUAUUUGGGGAGAGGGAGAGAGAGUUUGCCUUAUUUCUGCAGAGACUUUUCUCUCAGCAGAGGGGCAGGAAAUAGUCACCCAUGUGAAGAACUCCUGCUAACUCUCAGAGGACCUCGCGGGAAUGAACACAUGUUUCCUGUGAACACAAAACCAAACAGAUGACAGCAACAACAAUUGAAAAAAUCCAAACACCUUUCAGUGGCUCCUCCUCCUCCAGCUCUACAAAGACUCAGGUAGAAUUUUGAAAUGACUUCCCUAGUUUCUGAAUAGGUGGCUUGGAUUAUAUGUUUUUCUUUUUCUAUUUACAUUUCCAGUUCCAUAAAGGAAGAAGAAUUUUGAGUUUGG